GUGGGUAUAGCUCAGUGGCAGAGCACAUGCUUAGCAUGCAGGAGGUUCUGGGUUCAAUCCCGGGUAUCUCCA
rnacentral:tRNA from 1 species